GUUUUUGAGAAGUUGCUGUUUCUACUGCAGCAGAACCCUUUCCCCGCAGAGACCUUUGGAAACCUGCUGCUUCUCUACAUUAAAAAAUUAAGAAGGUACAUGAACCUCAAGUCUAAAUGUUGUGUCGUGUGUGACUGAUAAGGGUUACCACAUGACUGACUCCAGACCUGAAGUUAAGUUCCUGAAUGCGAGUGCAAUCGUCCUGGCUAAUCCCUGCAUCUUUUACAUCAUGACCAGCCAAACCGAGGAGCUUGGGACAGACACCUGGUACUACACCAAGCGUCGAUUCCUGUCCCUACUAGAAAACAUGUCGAAACACAUGAUCAUGCUACAAGACUGCGUCCUGCAAGAAUGUAUCUAAUUCCUGGAACAGUGAAGAGUAAAGAAUGUUCCAGCUGUCAUUGAGCAGCCCCUGGAGGAGUACCGAAUGCACACUGGAAAGAGCACAGUCACAUAUGAAUCUCGCCUGCUGAAAGCACUCAUCUAUGAAAUUAUCUCAUGGAAUCAAUAACGUAUUAAAUACUGUAUUAUAUUUAUUUCAGUAAAAAACUAUUCUUUUCUCACUCGCUCAGCUCUUGACACCUGUAUUUCAAGCUUUUAAGAUACUGCUGACUAUAUUCAUUCCCGUUGUCAAAGCGUCUGUCUUGGGUUUAACUACUUGUUUCUUCAUGUUUGUUAAACUGUCCGACUAUUUUUCUAAUGGAUGCAGCUUCUUAUUUCUUAAUGCACGCUUUUCAAUUACUGUAUUUGUUCUGCAGAACCUGAAUAUACAUUGAUUUUUCUAGCAAUAAACCAUACUGUAUCUCA